GCCAAGGCUUUGUUUGGCAGUAAUUGGUGGAUGUAAAAAUUGGAGGAAGGCACAGGAAGUGACACAAAGGAAUGUGCCUUUAAAAAGGAGUUACAACUUCCAGUGGGAGAGAAUUUUGUCUGAGAUCUUCAGAGAGGACUUCAGCUUCUUCUGGAGUUCUGAGUUUGAGUUGGAGGCUGGUGAAGAAUCUGCUUACUGGACCUGAGACCUUGAACUUGUUGUGACUGUUCUUAAAUGUCUCCCUUUCGACUGACACAUGGCACUGUGUUAAAUGAUGUGGCUCUAAAGAAGAAGGUCCUGGCCGUCAGGUGUUUACUUUCUAAAAGAUCAUUCCCCCAUCAGAAACCAGGCAUCCCAAUGGAUAGAGCCCUUGGCCUGGAGUCAAGGAAAUGAGCUCAAGUCCAGCCUUGGACAUUUAUUGGCUGCAAGAUCCUGGACAAGUCACCUAACUUCUGCUUUCCUGAGUUUUCUCAACUGUAAAAUGGGGAUAAUAGCAGCAUCAACUUUCAUGGUUGUUGUGAAGAUUAAAUGACACAACAUUUGUAAAGCACUUAUCAAAAUGCCUGGC
rnacentral:lncRNA from 1 species